rnacentral:rRNA from 1 species
CACGUAGGGCGCAAGCGUUGUCCGGAAUUAUUGGGCGUAAAGAGCUCGUAGGCGGUCUGUUGCGUCCGCUGUGAAAACUCGGGGCUUAACCCCGAGCCUGCAGUGGAUACGGGCAGACUAGAGGUAGGUAGGGGAGAAUGGAAUUCCCGGUGUAGCGGUGAAAUGCGUAGAUAUCCGGAGGAACACCGGUGGCGAAGGCGGCUUCCUGGACCGACACUGACGCUGAGGCGCGAAAGCUAGGGGAGCAAACGGG